AUGGCGGCGAAGCCCAAGCCCCCCGCGAAGCCAUGGCCGCCGGCGACCUCCACCUCCACCUCCCAUACUAAGACCACAACCAGGCCCUUCAUCGCCGCCGCAAUCUGCGAAGACGACGACGACGACUUCCAGAUCCCUCCCCCCGCCAGCCGCCCCCGCCCCUUGAAGCCCUCCUCCAAUGGCGCCGUCUCGCGCCGCCUCCGUAAGAAGCUACAGCUCCCAUCACCCUACUCCGGGAAGGAGAACCGUCCCGUUGCCAGCGGCACGGCUUCCUCUGAGAGUGUUGUUACAGUAGCUGCGGCGGCUGCCGAAACCCUAGCGGGCCGUUCGAGGGUUGGUACCGGCAUACGCCGCGUACCCGAGGGCAACGAAGUGACGGGUGGAGGAAUCUGCGGCAUAUCGAGGUCCCAUUCCGAUUGCCCCAAGUUAUUCGCUACUGAGAAGACUGGAUUGGGCGGAUACGACGGUUGCAACGGAAGUUCCAAUCGAUUCCCCAAUUCGACAGAGUCGAGUGUUUUGGAGUCAGGCGAAGCAUGUAAUUUGGGAAGUUGGCACUGUGAAGAGGCGGAAGGGGUCUCCAGGGUUUGUAAUGCGGUUCCUGAGGAGAGGCUGGUGGGGGGAAUAUCUGGUUCAUGGCUCCAUGGCUCUGUCUUUGAUGAAGGGAAUGUGGAUAUAGAAGCUGAGAUUGCAUCUAGAUCCGAGACCCAAAAGAACGAGCGGAGUGGAUUUGAAGUUCAUGACGGCAAUUACCACUCAUGUUCUACAGAAUCAGAGCUUUUAGUGCUGGAUUCAAAAUAUGAUAUUGGCGGUGCAGAUUGCAAAUACUUCCAAGAGCCUGGAUUAGGAAUCUCUAGCUUGGUUUCUGAAGAGAGAAAAGUUGCUGUGGAAGAUGCUGCCACUCUCAGUCCUCAGACUAGGGAGAAGAAAUCAAGCUCAGCUGCAGAUUGUCUAGAGUAUCAAUCCUCGAAUUCAGUUGAAUCGGUGCUUCUGGAAUCAUGUACGACCCAUCAUGCUGAACAGGACGAUUGUGAUAAUUUUGAGAUUGGAACCCAGCUUAAUGAGCUCAUAAACCUAUGCAUGGAGGAUCAGGUGCACAGUCAUCGUAACAGCAGGGCAUCUAAUGUUGAAGGGAAUAAAAUGGAUUCUGGGAGGUUUGAGUCAGUUUAUAAAGUGCAGUGCCCAUUAUGUGGGUCAGAUAUUUCUGAUCUGAGUGAGGAGCUCCAGCUAGCACAUACUAACAAUUGCCUCGACGAAGAUGAACCUGCUAAGGAAUCUAAUCCUAAUCAUGAAAGAGGACCUUGCGAUGGAGAAAAUAUUGAGAACACGUGUGUUGUAGAAUGGUUAAGGAACCUUGGGCUAUCUAAAUAUGAGGAAAUUUUUACCAAAGAAGAAGUUGACUGGGAGACCUUGCAGUGGCUCACAGAAGAGGAUCUUCUUGGUAUGGGAAUUACUUCCCUUGGACCCAGAAAGAAAAUUAUCCAUGCCCUUGGUGAAUUAAGGAGGAAAAAUGACAAUGCUAAUGACACAGAAGCAGAUGUGUUAAUUUCUGAAAAUACUAAAAGGACUAAAGGUCCAAUGAGCGGGAACAAAUUAAUUACGGAAUUCUUUCGGUGUUCCUCAUCUGAUCAGAAACAGAGAGACCACAAAGUCCAGAAACCAUCUAAUUUGAAUAACCAGAAAAAUUCCAGUGCUAAGGUGGCUAGUAGUAGAAGUCGUACUCGUAAAGCAAAGGUUAAAGAUACACCUCUUUGGUGUUGUAUCCCAGGAACACCUUUUCGAGUGGAUGCAUUUCGCUACUUACGAGGAGAUUGCUGUCACUGGUUUUUGACACACUUCCAUCUAGACCAUUACCAAGGCUUGACUAAGAGCUUUUGUCAUGGGAAGAUAUACUGUACCUCAAUAACAGCAAACCUUGUACACCAUAAGAUUGGUGUCCCAUGGGAUAGAAUGCAUGUAUUGCCACUGAACAAAAGGAUUACUGUUGCUGGUAUUAAUUUGACAUGUUUUGAAGCCAACCAUUGCCCUGGAUCAAUAAUCAUCCUUUUUGAGCCUCCCAAUGGUAAGGCUGUUUUGCACACUGGAGACUUCCGUUUUUCUUCCGAGAUGGCCAACAAUCCUGUUUUGCAGUCUUCUCACAUCCACACUCUAAUACUUGACACGACCUACUGUAAUCCACGAUAUGACUUCCCAAGUCAAGAGAUUGUAAUACAGUUUGUCAUUGAGGCCAUACAAGCAGAAGCUUUUAAUCCAAAAACACUGUUUUUGAUUGGCAGCUACACAAUUGGAAAAGAAAGACUGUUUACGGAGGUUGCCCGUUUGCUUCAGAAGAAAAUAUAUGUUGGAGCUGCAAAGCUGCAAAUAUUAAAGCACUUGGAGCUUCCUCAGGAAAUCAUGCCCUGGUUGACAGCCAAUGAAGCUGAAAGUCACAUACAUGUUGUCCCCAUGUGGACUCUAGCAAGCUUCAAACGAUUGAAACAUUUAUCGAGUCAAUAUGCUGACCGGUAUGACCUCAUUGUGGCAUUUUGUCCUACUGGUUGGUCAUUUGGUAAAGGGAGGAAAAAGACACCAGGCAGAAGGUGGCAACAAGGGACAAUCAUCAGAUAUGAAGUACCGUACAGUGAGCACAGUAGCUUCACAGAACUCCGAGAAUUUGUCCGGUUCAUAUCACCAGAGCAUAUAGUUCCUAGUGUAAACAAUGAUGGCCCUGAGAGUGCAGAUGCUAUGCUGGCCCAACUGUUAAAUGACUAG
rnacentral:rRNA from 1 species